CACGUAGGGCGCAAGCGUUGUCCGGAAUUAUUGGGCGUAAAGAGCUCGUAGGCGGUCUGUUGCGUCCGCUGUGAAAACUCGGGGCUUAACCCCGAGCCUGCAGUGGAUACGGGCAGACUAGAGGUAGGUAGGGGAGAAUGGAAUUCCCGGUGUAGCGGUGAAAUGCGCAGAUAUCGGGAGGAACACCGGUGGCGAAGGCGGCAUCCUGGACCAACACUGACGCUGAGGAGCGAAAGCCAGGGGAGCAAACGGG
rnacentral:rRNA from 1 species